rnacentral:rRNA from 1 species
GACGAACGCUGGCGGCGUGCUUAACACAUGCAAGUCGAACGGAAAGGCCCUGCUUUUGUGGGGUGCUCGAGUGGCGAACGGGUGAGUAACACGUGAGUAACCUGCCCUUGACUUUGGGAUAACUUCAGGAAACUGGGGCUAAUACCAGAUAGGAGCUCCUGCUGCAUGGUGGGGGUUGGAAAGUUUCGGCGGUUGGGGAUGGACUCGCGGCUUAUCAGCUUGUUGGUGGGGUAGUGGCUUACCAAGGCUUUGACGGGUAGCCGGCCUGAGAGGGUGACCGGCCACAUUGGGACUGAGAUACGGCCCAGACUCCUACGGGAGGCAGCAGUGGGGAAUAUUGCACAAUGGGCGGAAGCCUGAUGCAGCAACGCCGCGUGCGGGAUGACGGCCUUCGGGUUGUAAACCGCUUUCGCCUGUGACGAAGCGUGAGUGACGGUAAUGGGUAAAGAAGCACCGGCUAACUACGUGCCAGCAGCCGCGGUGAUACGUAGGGUGCGAGCGUUGUCCGGAUUUAUUGGGCGUAAAGGGCUCGUAGGUGGUUGAUCGCGUCGGAAGUGUAAUCUUGGGGCUUAACCCUGAGCGUGCUUUCGAUACGGGUUGACUUGAGGAAGGUAGGGGAGAAUGGAAUUCCUGGUGGAGCGGUGGAAUGCGCAGAUAUCAGGAGGAACACCAGUGGCGAAGGCGGUUCUCUGGGCCUUUCCUGACGCUGAGGAGCGAAAGCGUGGGGAGCGAACAGGCUUAGAUACCCUGGUAGUCCACGCUGUAAACGGUGGGUACUAGGUGUGGGGUCCAUUCCACGGGUUCCGUGCCGUAGCUAACGCUUUAAGUACCCCGCCUGGGGAGUACGGCCGCAAGGCUAAAACUCAAAGGAAUUGACGGGGCCCCGCACAAGCGGCGGAGCAUGCGGAUUAAUUCGAUGCAACGCGUAGAACCUUACCUGGGUUUGACAUGGAUCGGGAGCGCUCAGAGAUGGGUGUGCCUCUUUUGGGGUCGGUUCACAGGUGGUGCAUGGCUGUCGUCAGCUCGUGUCGUGAGAUGUUGGGUUAAGUCCCGCAACGAGCGCAACCCUUGUUCACUGUUGCCAGCACGUUAUGGUGGGGACUCAGUGGAGACCGCCGGGGUCAACUCGGAGGAAGGUGGGGAUGACGUCAAGUCAUCAUGCCCCUUAUGUCCAGGGCUUCACGCAUGCUACAAUGGCUGGUACAGAGAGUGGCGAGCCUGUGAGGGUGAGCGAAUCUCGGAAAGCCGGUCUCAGUUCGGAUUGGGGUCUGCAACUCGACCUCAUGAAGUCGGAGUCGCUAGUAAUCGCAGAUCAGCAACGCUGCGGUGAAUACGUUCCCGGGGCU